rnacentral:rRNA from 1 species
GACGAACGCUGGCGGCGUGCCUAAUACAUGCAAGUUGAGCGCUGAAGGUUGGUACUUGUACCAACUGGAUGAGCAGCGAACGGGUGAGUAACGCGUGGGGAAUCUGCCUUUGAGCGGGGGACAACAUUUGGAAACGAAUGCUAAUACCGCAUAAAAACUUUAAACACAAGUUUUAAGUUUGAAAGAUGCAAUUGCAUCACUCAAAGAUGAUCCCGCGUUGUAUUAGCUAGUUGGUGAGGUAAAGGCUCACCAAGGCGAUGAUACAUAGCCGACCUGAGAGGGUGAUCGGCCACAUUGGGACUGAGACACGGCCCAAACUCCUACGGGAGGCAGCAGUAGGGAAUCUUCGGCAAUGGACGAAAGUCUGACCGAGCAACGCCGCGGGAGUGAAGAAGGUUGUCGGAUCGUAAAACUCGGUUGGUAGAGAAGAACGUUGGUGAGAGUGGAAAGCUCAUAAAGUGACGGUAACUACACAGAAAGGGACGGCUAACUACGUG